UACUGCUCUCAGGGCAUUAAGUCCAGAUCAUCCAAGUAUAGUAUUGUAAGCCGAUGGAACUCAGAUGACUGUGAAUAUUAGGAGAACAGUACUUUAUUGUGGAUCUAUUUUUAUAAUUAGUGAGAGAGUAAUUUUUCUUUCCACGGUAACUGCAUCUCUAGUAAAACCAACUAAUGACGUCGAGACUCUUCUAAGUUGGUCAGUCGAUAGUCGCAUUUGAGAGAAAGUUGAGUUAAAAAGAACAUCAGUUGAGCUUUCAUUAUUAACUAAAAUUUUUUCUACGUCAUAGUUUGUUAUCAUCACCAAAACGAUGACAGCAUUAGCAUGAGGAGCUUGUAUUCCCCUGACAUCAUCUUUCGA
rnacentral:lncRNA from 1 species